GAGUUUCUCUAUUUAUCAUUUUCUCAUUUUCUUUUCUUCGUUUUUCAAAUCCUAAAUCCUAUCAGAGUAUAUCUAUUUAUUCAGAAGCAAGUGUCUCGGAGUAGUCAGUAGAGAG
rnacentral:ribozyme from 1 species